rnacentral:ncRNA from 1 species
AACCGCCGGAUGCUUGGAAACUUGCUUGUCCGGUGGUGUGGGGGGCUUAGAGUAAAUGAAUGAAAUACUUAAAACGCUCUAAUUUCUAUCCCGAU